rnacentral:rRNA from 1 species
ACACGACUACAUUAGAUACCCGUGUAGUCCCAGCCGUAAACGAUGCGCGUUAGGUGUAUCGGUGACCACGAGUCACCGAGGUGCCGAAGGGAAACCGUGAAACGUGCCGCCUGGGAAGUACGGUCGCAAGGCUGAAACUUAAGGAAUUGGCGGGGAGCACCACAACGGGUGGAGCCUGCGGUUUAAUUGGACUCAACGCCGGGAAGCUCACCGGAUAAGACAGCGGAAUGAUUGCCGGGCUGAAGACUCUGCAUGACUAGCUG